rnacentral:rRNA from 1 species
GACGAACGCUGGCGGCGUGCUUAACACAUGCAAGUCGAACGGAAAGGCCCUGCUUUUGUGGGGUGCUUGAGUGGCGAACGGGUGAGUAACACGUGAGUAACCUGCCCUUGACUUUGGGAUAACUUCAGGAAACUGGGGCUAAUACCGGAUAGGAGCUCCUGCUGCAUGGUGGGGGUUGGAAAGUUUCGGCGGUUGGGGAUGGACUCGCGGCUUAUCAGCUUGUUGGUGGGGUAGUGGCUUACCAAGGCUUUGACGGGUAGCCGGCCUGAGAGGGUGACCGGCCACAUGGGGACUGAGAUACGGCCCAGACUCCUACGUGAGGCAGCAGUGGGGAAUAUUGCACAAUGGGCGGAAGCCUGAUGCAGCAACGCCGCGUGCGGGAUGACGGCCUUCGGGUUGUAAACCGCUUUCGCCUGUGACGAAGCGUGAGUGACGGUAAUGAGUAAAGAAGCACCGGCUAACUACGUG